rnacentral:rRNA from 1 species
GACGAACGCUGGCGGCGUGCCUAAUACAUGCAAGUAGAACGCUGAAGAGAGGAGCUUGCUCUUCUUGGAUGAGUUGCGAACGGGUGAGUAACGCGUAGGUAACCUGCCUUGUAGCGGGGGGUAACUAUUGGAAACGAUAGCUAAUACCGCAUAACAAUAGGUGACACAUGUCAUUUAUUUGAAAGGGGCAAUUGCUCCACUACAAGAUGGAUCUGCGUUGUAUUAGCUAGUAGGUGAGGUAACGGCUCACCUAGGCGACGAUACAUAGCCGACCUGAGAGGGUGAUCGGCCACACUGGGACUGAGACACGGCCCAGACUCCUACGGGAGGCAGCAGUAGGGAAUCUUCGGCAAUGGGGGCAAACCUGACCGAGCAACGCCGCGUGAGUGAAGAAGGUUUUCGGAUCGUAAAGCUCUGUUGUAAGUCAAGAACGAGUGGGAGAGUGGAAAGUUCACACUGUGACGGUAGCUUACCAGAAAGGGACGGCUAACUACGUG